rnacentral:misc_RNA from 1 species
UUCUAACGAAUUCUCGAUGCAUAAAAUACUUAGAUAAACCAGAGUGAUAAGCGUGCACCGCAGUCACGUAAUUUCCUCGCUCUACGCGCUCAAAGGAAGCAACAAACAUCACCGCCAUUCCCACACCAUAGGACCAUAGGAGCUGUACCUCGCAACAUCAGCAAUGGCAGAUCAACACGGGGUGGCAGUGCUAUGGCUGUUAUUAAUGUUGACUUGCGGACUCCUGCAACAAGCUCAAGUUCUCGUCUCGGGAUUCGAACCGGAAACCCAGCCAGGCAAAGCGGCAAGGCGUGUGUGCUACUACCAGGCAGGGACAGUCCACCGCCCGGGAGAAGCUAGCUACAAGAUCGAGGACAUCCCGGGUGUCCUCUGUUCCCAUAUCAUCUACGCUUUCGCUGACCUCUCUAACGUCACGUGGGAGGUCAUGCCUUCUAACCCGAGUUUCGACAUCGACGCUGGCGGUUACGAAAGGUUCGUCGGGUUGAAGGACACUUAUCCAGAUCUCACGGCGACCAUCGGCGUCGGCGGAGGCGGCAGCGGAACGGCAGAGGUCUUCUCCCAGAUGGCCAGCCGCAAGGAACAGAGAGACGUCUUCGUCCAGAGCAUCGUAGAUCUUGUGAAGAGGUAUAAUUUUGAUGGUGUCGACGUAGACUGGGAAUAUCCCGACACGCCCGAAGACAAGGAAAACUUUCGGUUACUGAUGGAUGAACUGCGAGCGGCCCUGGAUGCAGAGGCUCAAAGCUUAGAGCUCACUAUGGCCGUUCCAAUUGUCAGAUAUAGACUGCAUGAUGGAUAUAGCGUCCCUGAACUCUGCAGAGCAGUUGAUGCAGUUCAUCUCAUGGGCUACGACUUGAGAGGAGUGUGGAAUGAUGUGGCUGACGUGCAUUCAAUGCUCUAUCGAAGACCUGACAUAGACUUCGGUAUUCUAGAGGAAAUAAACUUGAACGACGGUUCCCUCCUCUGGGAGGAACUUGGAUGCCCCCGAGACAAGCUCGUGCUGGGAGUCCCCUUCUACGGACGGAGCUUCACGUUAGCUGAUCCUUCUCAACACACACUUCACGCCCCGAUCACUGGGUCUGGGAAUCCGGGGCCUAUAAUAGGGGAUCCUACAGUCCUGGUUUACUUUGAGAUUUGUACAAACUUGAAGAAUGACCCAGAGUGGAAGAGGGAAUGGGAUAAUGAAGGUCUGGUUCCUUAUACAUACAAAGGUGACCAGUGGAUUGGCUACGAAGACCCUGAGAGUCUCAAGAUCAAGAUGGACUAUAUUCGAAAGAUGGGAUACCUCGGGGCCAUGAACUGGGCUAUCGAUGACGACGACUUCAAGGGCUGGUGUGGCUUAGGGGUCAAUCCCAUGAUGACGGCCAUUUACGAAGGCUUGAAGAACUAUACUGUGCCAAGGAGCAAAGAAUGACGUCCUUAUUCCUCGGUCACUGUUCUCUGAUGCUUGAUAACUCCACUUCACACUAAGCAAUGGUUAUUAACCCACACAGGAC